rnacentral:rRNA from 1 species
AUUGAACGCUGGCGGCAUGCCUUACACAUGCAAGUCGAACGGUAACGCGGGGCAACCUGGCGACGAGUGGCGAACGGGUGAGUAAUGCAUCGGAACGUACCCAGUAGUGGGGGAUAGCCCGGCGAAAGCCGGAUUAAUACCGCAUACGACCUAAGGGUGAAAGCGGGGGACCGUAAGGCCUCGCGCUAUUGGAGCGGCCGAUGUCAGAUUAGGUAGUUGGUGGGGUAAAGGCCUACCAAGCCUUCGAUCUGUAGCUGGUCUGAGAGGACGACCAGCCACACUGGGACUGAGACACGGCCCAGACUCCUACGGGAGGCAGCAGUGGGGAAUUUUGGACAAUGGUCGGAAGACUGAUCCAGCCAUGCCGCGUGAAGGACGAAGGCGCUCAGCGUUGUAAACUUCUUUUGGAUGGGGAUAAUAAUCUCGAUUUAUCGGGACUUGAAGGUACCAUCAGAAUAAGCACCGGCUAACUCCGUG